UACGUAGGGAGCAAGCGUUGUUCGGAUUUACUGGGCGUAAAGGGCGUGCAGGUGGUCUGUUAAGUCUGGCGUGAAAGCUCCUGGCUAAACCGGGAGAGGUCGUUGGAUACUGGCGGACUAGAGGACGGUAGAGGCGUGUGGAAUUCCAGGUGUAGCGGUGAAAUGCGUAGAUAUCUGGAGGAACACCGGUGGCGAAGGCGGCAUCCUGGACCGGUAAUUGACGCUGAGGCGCGAAAGCCAGGGGGAGCAAAACGGGG
rnacentral:rRNA from 1 species